AUGAGAUUAGGCUAGGUGCUAUGUAUUACCACGUCAUUCUACUAAUAUUCAUCCAAAAGUAUUGCUUCAUUGCCUAAUAAAUUUUGGAUCGUUUCUCUUCUCAUUCAUAUACUUCAGUUUCCCAUCUCUCUUCGUUUUUCAACUUUGCUUUACUCCCUGAGAAUCCCAACCAGCUCCCCGCCACCUUCCCCUACGAUCUCUUCACUGUCACCCAAAAAAUGAGCGAUAAUGAUCGCGACAUCUACGGUGAAGUUCGCGCGUGAGCUGGAUCCAAAUGAUCGACAUCUUAAAUCAGAUAUGACACGAUCGCGCGUAGGAUUGGAGAUUCAGAUUGGAACAAAGGUGAAAAUUGUAAAUGGUGAAGAUGAAGAGUCAAAGAGUAGAGAUCAAAGUGAUAUGCCAAGGAUUCGAUCAACGUCUGUUUUUGUUGAAAUUUUCAGAGGAGAGCCAGGAAGAUAAGAUAUUGUUGUUAGAAGAUAAGGACAGAUAUAAAAUUCACGGCUUCUACAAGAACAUCAGUGUUGUUAAUCGUCCAAACACCCGCUGCGUCUCCACGGUUUCCAUACUUCUCCAUUAUGGUUGUUGGUUCCAUUUUUUUUGUAAGAAGUCUCCAUGGUAGCUGAGUCAUUUGAGUUUUGGUUUGACGACAAGAGUCCGUCUCUGCUUUUUACUGGAUUUCCCUCAAGCAGCUAUUAUUCAAAGAAGUGUGUCUGAGGGCUUCAAGCUUGAGCUUCACACUUCAGAUAGAUUCAAGUGUAACUCCGAUGUCACUUGAAUUUCCCCCGGAAACAGUCUUACAAUAAUGAGGGCAGGAGCUUAAAGUUUAAACACAGUGAGGGAAAGCUCUCAAUAGUCAAUACGUUAUAUGUGAGGAUGCUUUUGGUAAUCAAGGUCAUGGUAAGUUGGGUAUAUUGGAUUAUAUUUAUCAUCUGAAUUUAAAAUAUUUUUUUUGGAACACUAAUUUUUAUAUUAAAUUUCUUAUUUGUAUUUAGGUUGGUUGUUAUCUUAGAUAUGUGAAUAUACUUUACUGUAGUCAACUAAAUAUAAGAAAAAAUAAAACAUUUCAAUAAUACUAAUUCUAAACUAUUUUAGUCAAUUAAACAUAUAUCAGUUUACUUAAUUAUUUUAUGUAAUCUUCUAAGAAAAUACAUAAAUAUAUAAAAAUAUAUUUCUGUUACAUUGAAAAUAUUUUUUGUAUUGUAUUAAAAUUAAGUUUUAAAGAAAAAAUAUUUCUUUUUCUAUUAUCAAGGUUAUUUGUGUGAAUUUGUUUUAUGAAUUUUGAGCAUUGAUGGUUACUCUGAGCUUGCUUAAUCUGCUGUGGGUACUCUGACUACUUUUAGGGACAGGUGAGUUCUAAUCUUGGUGUAUGCGUAUCUUUUAGCCAAUAGAAUGAUUGAUAUUCGGCUGGAUUGGUUAUUGAGUCAGGAAAAAAAAACACAUUAUAUAAAUCUGUUUUGCAUAAUAAUUAUGUUUUGAUUGAAUUCAUUAUGGAAAUUCCAUAUUUCAAUGCUGAGCAAUCUCAGGUGAGAGACUGACUACGUUGCUUUAUGUUAAUGUUUUCAGAACAGAACAUACGUUUUCCAAGGUCUUCAAAUGCCGUGUAAUUAUGGGUAUUGGCUUCUUUACUCCUGCACUUAUAUAUGAAUGAUUAGUUAUGUUUCCAUAAAGAGUUCCUUGCAUCUGGAUCUGGCUUUUAUUAGCAUCCCGUGACAAAUAUUGAUCCCACGCUGAUGUGUUUGUUUUAAAUUAUUUUGCUUUUGUUUGUUGUUGUCUGAUUUUUUAUGUGUUUGUUUUAUGUCUAUUUUGUUUAAUACUUAGCAAAUUCUUUAAUUCCAUAUGUGGGUUUAUUUAGUUGAACAAUUCAGUUAGUUUUUCGCUCAAUUAUGAGGGUUUAUUUAGUUGAACAAUUCAGUUAGACCAGGUGAAAAUUUCCCUAAAUGAGUAUUUUUCAGUAUCAUUCAGAAUUUUACUACCACUUGGUUUUUCGCUCAAUUAUUAUAUCAUGUGUUUGUCCUUCAGUUUUAUGGUUUCCAUUGUCAGAAAGUUAUACUAAUAUGCUUGGAACACCAACAGACGUUGCUAAUGUCUAUGUGUUAACCAUCCCUCCAAAUAAAAUGGUAAUGUUGCACCAAGCUCCAUGUCUUCAUCUAUAGUUUUCACUAACAAGGAUGUGCCUCGGACAACUGAUUAUCUCUCUUGGUUGGCUGAAAAGUGAGAACCCAUUGUUGCUUCCAUGGUUAUUGCAUUAGAGGCCACCAAGGUUGAAACCCUUACUAUGGGUAAGAUCUAUGCCUUCCUCAAACAGGAACCCAUUCAGGCAGCCUUUUUACCUGCAUAGCUCUUUUAACCAUGGAUCCCCAUCAUUUGAUGGCAACUCCACAGUGUCUGUUGGAUACAAUUGGCCAACCCCACAAUGUCAAAGUGAAGGUCUCUGACUACAACUUCACAGAAAAAAGCAUACAAUAACUGUCACAAACUUUGUCUGUCUUCAAGGCUUGCCAGAUGUAAGAACCACCUGUGGAGAUCAGUCACCGCAAACAUUGAAGGUGAGCAACUUCCCGGGCCAAUUGUGACAUGUAACUCCGCCUUUGGUGGAACCUUCUACGCUGGGUCUUCUGCUGGUGGAAGUGCUCCAGCUAAUGACAGUGAAGUGGAACAGGAAGCAAGCAUCCAAGAUUUAGUAGCUAAUACCUGUCAAAUCCUAGCUCCAUGUUGCUUUAGUUCUCCCAUUAUCUAUGUCGCUUAAGUUUAUGUACUUCUCUAGGAUUUCCUUCUGCAUAUCUGAACAUAAUUUUUACAUUUAGUUUUUUUACCCGUUACUUUGGGUUGAACUUAUUUUCCUCAAAGCAAAGUUUCUCCAGAUAAUGUAAGCAUUUGAUAA